UCUAUAGUGUGGUAGUUUACACAUUCGCUUUGCAAUUGAAAGGCUGCUGGUUUGACUCCAGCUGGA
rnacentral:tRNA from 1 species